rnacentral:lncRNA from 1 species
CCUCUUUUUGUCCGUGUACUUUUCUAAUUGGCAUUUAACUCGGCAAUUCACGAAUUUCUCCCAACGGCCAACGGAAAUUAUUGAGUGACAGAUUGCAAAUUCACACCCACCCUCCUAUUUUUUUUUUUUUUUUUUUUUUUUUAAGUAUAUUAAUUUUGACACUAUUUUCAGGGACCUCACCACCUCCCAUGUCGAACAGAGAACUAUCAACGACGAAAACAAUGGAGUACAUGGGUUUGACCCCAGUUCCUCCCCAAAGAAACCUGAACCUGCCUCCCGGCAGCCAAUCCAAUAUUGACAUUGACUUAGAGGAGGCGUCAGAAAACUGCCGGCAAAACUGUCUUAAACAGUACGGCUACAUAUCCGCUCCGAAGCAAUACAACCUGGGCGUUCGGAAAUCGUCCCGAUCACCGAUGGCAGGGCGGUUCUCGUUAAUGGGAUUGUGAGCGAGAUCUGCGACUGCGCACUCUCCACGGAAGUUAAAACGCUCUUGGCGAUCGUCCGUCUUGACGUCGAUGAAUUCGACAAACUGCGUCAGAAGCAAAGCAAGACUAAGCUGAAAUGUUUCAUCCGGUCCAAGGGUCUGCACUACCUCAGUUACUCGGAAGUCCGUGAGAAACUGAAGAAAAGUCUGAAGAAGAAUAGUGUGGCGCUGGAUGUUAGCACGGCGUCGAGAAGACACCGGGACUCGCCUUGUUAGGUCGACUUCCUAGCGUACAUAGAAAAUCGUAAAUUCUCAAUUUGUUCAGAUUUUAGCCGUUUAAAUAAAAAUGAGACACAUACAUUCUUUUUUCCGCCUUGAAAUGUACGUAAUAUACCCACUUGUUACAAGAAAAAUUCAAGCCUUCGUGUAUGGUGCGCCCCACCGGGAAAACUGUUUUUCUGGCGCCAAAACGAUCAAAAUAGCUAAUUCGGCAACGCUUUACUCGCACGCAAUCAAGAUUCUCGGACAAAUCACUAAUUUUUGGUUCCAAUAUUUCAAGAAGCAUGCCCUAUUGUAUCGUUAGAAAAAGUUUCAAGUUGAUCGAAUCCUUGCGCCCUAUACGUAAAGUACCGGUUUUUGGCGCCAAAACGGUCAAAACAGCCAUCUCAUGAGCCACUGCGUUUCGAGCUCAUAGAGUACGUAGAAUCAUAGCGUGAACGGGAGCGCUGGCGCCAUGUUCUGGUCAACGAGUUCCGAGCCCGGUGUGCGCCGAGUUCGGGUCACUUUUUCGAUACAUUUUCGAUCCAAAAUGGCGUUGUAGAAUACGUAGUAAUUCCUGUCCUCUUUGUUUACAUCGGUUUGCCGGGUCCCCAUGGAUCGGAAACAAUCGAUAAUAUAUCGAAAAAGUGACCCGGCCUGACACAGGAGUCUCGGAAUUCGAGACCUGGAAAAUGCUUAAAAUUUGUGCC